rnacentral:rRNA from 1 species
AUUGAACGCUGGCGGCAGGCCUAACACAUGCAAGUCGAGCGGCAGCGGAAAGUAGCUUGCUACUUUGCCGGCGAGCGGCGGACGGGUGAGUAAUGUCUGGGAAACUGCCUGAUGGAGGGGGAUAACUACUGGAAACGGUAGCUAAUACCGCAUAACGUCGCAAGACCAAAGAGGGGGACCUUCGGGCCUCUUGCCAUCAGAUGUGCCCAGAUGGGAUUAGCUAGUAGGUGGGGUAACGGCUCACCUAGGCGACGAUCCCUAGCUGGGCUGAGAGGAUGACCAGCCAAACUGGAACUGAGACACGGUCCAGACUCCUACGGGUGGCAGCAGUGGGGAAUAUUGCACAAUGGGCGCAAGCCUGAUGCAGCCAUGCCGCGUGUAUGAAGAAGGCCUUCGGGUUGUAAAGUACUUUCAGCGGGGAGGAAGGUGUUGAGGUUAAUAACCUCAGCAAUCGACGUUACCCGCAGAAGAAGCACCGGCUAACUCCGUGCCAGCAGCCGCGGUAA